CUUCUAAACAAGUAAAGCUUUUAAAGAGAAAUAGCUUGCAUUAAGUAGAGGAAGGUCUAACUUAGAUUUUGACAUAUUACAGUUGCAUUUUACUUAAAAAUCCACAGAGAUAUUAAUGUUCAAAAUUGGAAGCAUCUUUUGGGAUGUGUCUAAAAUUAGCAAAAAUCGGCAUAUCAAAUAUUAACUCCAGUGUUUGUUUGUUAAUGACAUAUCAGGCUAACUUGUAUUUCAGCGAAUUGUCGUUAGGGUUUGUAAGGGAUAUGGCGUAGAUUUAGACAUCUUACAUGUAAGUCUUAGCUCAAUGUUUCCUGAAAUAUGAACGUUCGAAAUUAUGCAAGUAUUUAAUAUUAGGUCUUUACAAACUUAAAAGUACAUGAAAGACCAUGGAAGGCAGGCGCUUAAAUUUUUCUUAAAUAGCCUAAUUUUUUUAUGUUUUUAAUGGGUUCAAACAGACUGAGUUGAUUACUUCUCGGUUAGAGCAGGAUGAAUAUUAUUCUUUAUUGAAGGAAAUAAUAUUGCUUUUUGCAAAUACACAUUCACCGUAUCAAUGCUACUAUUUUGUUAGGUUUUGUUCCAAAAAUGUUGCAUGUCUCUAGGGAGUUGCUUAAUUGUUAUGUCUUAUUGAGUUAUAUGGUUUGAUUGUGUUUCAUAUAAUUCUCAGUUUACUCUGAACUUGCCAAGAUUAAGAAACGACAAAAGAGUUUGGGUGUUCUUAACAAGAUUUCAGAACGUUGCAGAAGUUAGAAUUGCUUCACAAUUCCAUUGUGACAGCAUGCCCUAAUUCAGAACUACGAACGAUCCAUGACGAUCCUUCGCGAUGCAGUGGUCUCAUGAAAUAAGGAAACGUAUUCGUGCUAGGAACACACGCGAAUUUCGGACGAAUAAAUCUUGCUUGUAUUUUGUGAUACUAUGAUAAUAAUACUUUGUUUCAUAAUAAACAAUUUGUCAAGUGUCGUUUAUUUACUGGUAAUAGUGCAUGUUUCAGUCGGGCAAAUCUUGAUUAAAAUUUGAUACGCCGUU